GGUUGGUGCUCAGUGGUAGAGUGCUCGCCUAGCAUGCCUGAGGCACUGAGUUUGAUCCUCAGCACCA
rnacentral:tRNA from 1 species